AUUAUUAUUAAUUAUUAACUAAUUAUUAUAAUUAUCGCUGUAUCAUUAUAUUAUUAUUAUUCGCAAGUAAUGUCACUUCAUAAUCAAUGCUUCCAGCAACGAACGAAAAGUUCUGCCGGUUGCCUCUUUACUUCUCUUUCCUUUAUUUCAUACAAAUAAACGCGAGUGCUUCCUAUUCAUAAAACCCACCCGAUCGCAAGCGAUAUCGACGGUGUUCUAAUAUAUUGCUACUACCGUGUCACAUUACUAUAUAUUAUUAUUAUUAUUAUUAUUAUAUAUUAUUAUUAUUAUUAUUAUUAUUAUUUUCAUCGGCAUAUCUAUUCUAUUUAGCAACAAUCAUUCCUUUUCAGUCACUUCCAUAUCUCUCAUUACCGUCGUCGCUAAACCAAAAAAACCUGUGCUUUGUAAUCAAUUGUAUAUAGUUCGCGCUAUAUAUAGAACUUCAAAAUUAUUAGCGAUACGUUUUACGACGCAAAUGAUUCGUAUUAUUAACGCUUUAAUUGACAGCAAUGGAAUUUAGUCGCGACUUCCGACUUGAUCUUCGAACUGACAUCCAUUACCUCUCCUUGCCGCUCGUCUUUUGGUCAACCGUAAUUAAGACAUGCAGUUUCAGGAACUGAAACUUACAUCGAUGAAUAUGAUGGAACGAAAUAUGAAGAUUAUCCCUUCCCUUAAUUGAAGGCGUUAUGAGUGACAGUUACAUUUUAUCUUGUUUAGAAAUAUUAAAAUGUGAAAAAUUAAGGUAAUCAUAGAAUGUAUUAAAAGUAUUUUGCAGCGCGUACAAAUAUAUUAUUAAAAAAUAUUGUUUCGAUAUACCUCUAAUAAACAUUCAUUUUUGGACACUGUAUAUUCUCAACAUUUAGUAAUAAAUGAUAACUUUUUAACGCUAAGAUUAUCAACUUUUAACUAAAUUCAAAUAAGACAACAUAAUGUACAAAAUAAGACGAUUUAAAAUUCGAACUUGAAGAAAUGUCCAAUAAAAUCGAAAAGAAAUAGAAAAGCUAGACCAGAAAAGAAAAAAAUUUAGUUUUUAAAUAAUAAUUGUGAAAUCAUAUUUAACACUAAUUGCAUGACGUACCUAAUUGCGAAGUGUGCAAGUUUCUUUACUCGAGGGAAAAUGCAAUUGAAACGCUGCUAAAAUAACGCCUUCAAUCUUCACCGUUGUGCCAGUCGUGCAAUUAGAAAUCGGGGACGGAAACAGAGAGAGAAAAAGAGAGAGUGGGACGAGGACAGACUGAGACAGACGCGGAGAGUGAAAGUCUCUCCUUACGCAGAGACGAGUUG